UACGUAGGGUGCAAGCGUUGUCCGGAAUUAUUGGGCGUAAAGAGCUCGUAGGCGGUCUGUCGCGUCUGCUGUGAAACCCAGGGCUUAACCCUGGGCCUGCAGUGGGUACGGGCAGACUAGAGUGCGGUAGGGGAGAUCGGAAUUCCUGGUGUAGCGGUGAAAUGGCGCAGAUAUCAGGAGGAACACCGGUGGCGAAGGCGGGUCUCUGGGCCGUAACUGACGCUGAGGAGCGAAAGCGUGGGGAGCAAACAGG
rnacentral:rRNA from 1 species